GGGAAGAUGGCUCAGUGGUAGAGUGCUUGCCUUGCAUGCAUGAGGCCCUGGGUUC
rfam:Dipodomys ordii contig_93562, whole genome shotgun sequence.